CCCAGACUCCUACGGGAGGCAGCAGUGAGGAAUAUUGGUCAAUGGCCGGAAGGCUGAACCAGCCAUGCCGCGUGAAGGUCAGUGCCCUAUGGGCGUUAAACUUCUUUUGUGCGGGAGCAAUAAUGGUCACGUGUGGCCAGACGAGAGUACCGUACGAAUAAGCAUCGGCUAACUCCGUGCCAGCAGCCGCGGUAAUACGGGGGAUGCAAGCGUUAUCCGGAUUUAUUGGGUUUAAAGGGUGCGUAGGCUGUGAGGUAAGUCAGCGGUGAAAUGCCCCCGCUCAACGGGGUGAAGUGCCAUUGAUACUGCCUUGCUGGAAUGCGGAUGCCGUGGGAGGAAUGUGUGGUGUAGCGGUGAAAUGCAUAGAUAUCAGGAGGAACAUCGGUGGCGUAAGCGCUUUACUGGGCCGUAAUUGACGCUGAGGAACGAAAGCCAGGGUAGCAAAUGGGAUUAGAUACCCCAGUAUUC
rnacentral:rRNA from 1 species